UACGUAGGGUGCAAGCGUUGUCCGGAAUUAUUGGGCGUAAAGAGCUCGUAGGCGGUUUGUCGCGUCUGCUGUGAAAUCUCAGGGCUUAACCCUGGGCCUGCAGUGGGUACGGGCAAACUAGAGUGCGGUAGGGGAGAUCGGAAUUCCUGGUGUAGCGGUGAAAUGCGCAGAUAUCAGGAGGAACACCGAUGGCGAAGGCAGGUCUCUGGGCCACUACUGACGCUGAGGCGCGAAAGCUAGGGGAGCAAACGGG
rnacentral:rRNA from 1 species